rnacentral:rRNA from 1 species
UUUAACGGCCGCGGUAUUUAUAACCGUGCAAAGGUAGCAUAAUUAUUAGUCUUUUAAUUGGAGGCUUGUAUGAAGGGUUUGACAAGAGAAAUACUGUCAUUUUUAAUAAAAAUUGAAUUUAACUUUUAAGUGAAAAGGCUUAAAUGGUUCAGAGGGACGAUAAGACCCUGUAAAGUUUUAUAAGAGAUAAUUUUUAUCUAAUAUUUUAAAAGUUAAGAUUUAUAUUUUAUUACGUUGGGGAAACUAAAGUAUAAUUGUUGUAAUUGCUUGUAUAUAAUACAAAUAUAUUUGAAUAAAAAUUAAAUGAUCCUUUAAUUAUUUAGGGAUUAAAAGAUUAAGUUACUUAAGGGAUAACAGCGUUAUUUUUUUUGAGAGUUCUUAUU